rnacentral:rRNA from 1 species
UACGUAGGGUGCGAGCGUUGUCCGGAAUUAUUGGGCGUAAAGAGCUUGUAGGCGGUUUGUCGCGUCUGCCGUGAAAAUUCGAGGCUCAACCUCGAACUUGCGGUGGGUACGGGCAGACUAGAGUGUGGUAGGGGAGACUGGAAUUCCUGGUGUAGCGGUGAAAUGCGCAGAUAUCAGGAGGAACACCGAUGGCGAAGGCAGGUCUCUGGGCCAAGACUGACGCUGAGGCGCGACAGCGUGGGGAGCAAACAGG